rnacentral:rRNA from 1 species
UCCAGACUCCUACGGGAGGCAGCAGUGAGGAAUAUUGGUCAAUGGGCGGGAGCCUGAACCAGCCAAGUCGCGUGAGGGAUGACGGCCCUAUGGGUUGUAAACCUCUUUUGCCGGGGAGCAAAGUGCCGCACGUGUGCGGUUUGGAGAGUACCCGGAGAAAAAGCAUCGGCUAACUCCGUGCCAGCAGCCGCGGUAAUACGUAGGGUGCGAGCGUUAAUCGGAAUUACUGGGCGUAAAGGGUGUGCAGGCGGUUUUGCAAGAUGGAUGUGAAAGCCCCGGGCUUAACCUGGGAAGGCCAUACAUGACUGCAAGACUAGAGUGCGUCAGAGGGGGGUGGAAUUCCAAGUGUAGCAGUGAAAUGCGUAGAUAUUUGGAAGAACACCGAUGGCGAAGGCAGCCCCCUGGGACGCAACUGACGCUCAUACACGAAAGCGUGGGGAGCAAACAGGAUUAGAUACCCCGGUAGUA